UUUAUGAUAGUUAUACGAAGCAAGAGGAAGCAAAUAGCAGAUAAAAAGUUAUACGAAGCAGGAGGAAGCAAAUAUCAGAUAAAAAGUUUCUAUACCAGAAG